GACGAACGCUGGCGGCGUGCUUAACACAUGCAAGUCGAACGGAAAGGCCUCUUUCGGGGGGUACUCGAGUGGCGAACGGGUGAGUAACACGUGAGUAACCUUCCCUUGACUUUGGGAUAACUUCAGGAAACUGGGGCUAAUACCGGAUAGGAGCUCCUGCUGCAUGGUGGGGGUUGGAAAGUUUCGGCGGUUGGGGAUGGACUCGCGGCUUAUCAGCUUGUUGGUGGGGUAGUGGCUUACCAAGGCUUUGACGGGUAGCCGGCCUGAGAGGGUGACCGGCCACAUUGGGACUGAGAUACGGCCCAGACUCCUACGGGAGGCAGCAGUGGGGAAUAUUGCACAAUGGGUGGGAGCCUGAUGCAGCAACGCCGUGUGCGGGAUGACGGCCUUCGGGUUGUAAACCGCUUUCGCUCAUGACGAAGCUUUGUGUGACGGUAGUGGGUAAAGAAGCACCGGCUAACUACGUG
rnacentral:rRNA from 1 species